rnacentral:ribozyme from 1 species
AAAAUGGAGACCUUCAAACCUACAGAAGCCAUUGAGGCAGAAGAGAACGCUAGGAUAGAGGAGUUCGGUCGCUGGCUAGAGGAAGGUGGUGACAAGGAGGUGGCAGGAGAGUAACAUCAGCACAGC